UACGAAGGGUGCAAGCGUUGCUCGGAAUUAUUGGGCGUAAAGGGUAGGUAGGUGGUGAUAUUUGUCUGGGGGUGAAAAUCCCUGAGCUUAACUCAGGAAGUGCCUUGGAAACGGUAUCACUCGAGUACUGGAGAGGUUCGCAGAAUUCUUGGUGUAGCGGUGAAAUGCGUAGAGAUCAAGAGGAAUACCAGAGGCGAAGGCGGCGAACUGGACAGUUACUGACACUCAACUACGAAAGCGUGGGGAGCAAACAGG
rnacentral:rRNA from 1 species